rnacentral:tRNA from 1 species
AGAGCUUUAGGUUAAGUUGGAAACUUUCUGUCUUCAAAAUAGUAGAUAUGUAAAAGUAAGUUCUG